AGAGAGAGACAUGCGUGCAUAUCAAUAAGCGGAGGAAAAGAAACUAACAAGGAUUCCCCUAGUAACGGCGAGUGAAGCGGGAAGAGCUCAAAUUUGAAAUCUUAAAGGGUUUCCCUUUACGAAUUGUAGUUUAAAGAAGUGUUUUCUGUUGAGGUUUUGGUAAAAGUUCUUUGGAAUAGGACAUCAUAGAGGGUGAGAAUCCCGUAUUUGACCUUUACUUUCAACUUUGUGAUACACUUUCAAAGAGUCGGAUUGUUUGGGAAUGCAGUCCAAAAUGGGUGGUAAAUUUCAUCUAAAGCUAAAUAUUGGCGAGAGACCGAUAGCGAACAAGUACCGUGAGGGAAAGAUGAAAAGAACUUUGAAAAGAGAGUUAAACAGUACGUGAAAUUGUCAAAAGGGAAGCGUUUGACACCAGUGUUGUUUUUCUGAAAAUCAAUUAAAGAACUGUUUAUGCUAAGCUGUUUAGACUUUAUCAGCUAUCUGUUUAGUUUUGAGCUUUUCUUUAAUGCACUUUUCAGUUAACAAGUCAACAUCAAUUUCUUUUGCUGUAAAAAAGCUUGAGGAAGGUGGCUUGAGAUUCGUCUUAAGUGUUUAUAGCCUCUUGCCUAUGCAGUCGGAGAGAUUGAGGUCUGCAGCGUAGAUCCUUCGGGGCUAAAUGCAUUUGUGCUAAGUUAUAGCAUUUUAUAGACAACUUGUUGACUAUGAUUUGUCUUGUAGCUUACUCGCUUAUGUUAUUUUACCUACGCUUAGGAUGUUGAGCGCAUGUCUCUCUCU
rnacentral:rRNA from 1 species